GCCAGCAGCUAUAUCACCCUGCAACUCAUAGUUGGCAGCCCACUGAAGCUGUGCAGGUGUGAGUCUAGUCAGUACCUGGAUGGGAGACCUCCUGGGAAAGCUAAAGUUGCUGCUGGAA
rnacentral:rRNA from 1 species